CUUGAAUUAACCCUACAUCAGGGGUUAUCAACUCUAACUAAUCCUCGAGGUCGACUUUCCAGCAUAGUUUAGCUCCAUAUUUGAUCAAAUUCACCUGCUUGUGACUUUCUAGUAAUCCUGAAGGCCUUGAUUAGCUUGUUCAGGUGUGUUUGAUUAGGGUUAGAGCUAAACUCUGCUCAACCCUGUUCCUGGGGACCCACUGUCCUGCAGACUUCAGCUCCAACCCUAAUCAAACACAUUAGAACCAGCCAAUCAAGGUCUUCAGGGUCUUUUGAAAAGUCACAGACCAGGUGUGCUGAAGAAGGUUGGAAAAAAACUUUGCAAGACAGUGGGUCCUGAGGAGCAGGGUUGAAGAGAGUUGACCUCUUGGGUUAAUUCAGGAUGGCUGGACCUGCAGGAAAAGCCAGAAAUGAGAAACCCUGCCCUACAAAGUGCAUAAUAAGGAUGAUGCUCUUGUUGUAUUUUCAUCUUUGUCAUAUCAGGUCUGUUUGUUCUGUUUUUUUUAAUCACACUCCAUCCUUUCCUGAGACAUCAGACAAACAUUCUGUCUCUCUCUUGCUUUUUUGUCUCUGUCCCGCCUGUCUCUCUUUCUAUUAA
ensembl:lncRNA